GUCCCCGUAGCUCAGUUGGAUAGAGCGCCGGCCUCCGGAGCCGGAAGCCUGGGUUCGAAUCCCGGCGGGGAUACCA
rnacentral:tRNA from 2 species